UAUAAUCUCAACUGACGUAGGGAUGCUGUAAAAAUAUCUUUCUUUCGUCUUCAUCAUCUUGAAAUAAAAUUUUCCAACUGCUCUACGUCGAUGUUACCCUUGACCGUCUGAGAGGGAGGAAUUACUGCUCACGCUAAGUUCGCAGUUCUUUUUUUUUCCUUUUGUCACAUUUCUUUAUUUCUCUCCAACUGCUCUUCACUACCUCUCCGACAUCGCGAUAACGGUUUUCCGGCAAGGUACAUGAACAUCCUAUUAUUCCUCUGACUGACGCGUGGAGAUCGGAAAACCCCAGAGAUUACAUCGUGUUGAAUUCAGUGGUAGCCGUCUGUAUGAGUAUAAAGGGAAUGUCGAAUUUUCAUGAAGCAACAAGUUGUCAUCUGACCACCAGGCAGCAGACUAGCGGUCAUUUCACCAUGAAGGCAUGCUUGUGGCUCACUCUGCUAUCCGUCGUCCCCGUAGCAUGUGAGUCUGCAGUAUGUCCUAAUUCGACGCGUUGCGUGUAAUAAAAGCUAGCUAACUAGCAAUAUGAUGACGUUGAAGUGUCGCACUAGUGUGGCAGUUUGAUCACACUAGGAAACAUUAGGAACUUGGUUGGGGCCGGCAGACGACACUUCACGUGACGUUUCCAGGAAGCAAAUCCAUGUGGGAAAGUCAGAGUAAAUUAUUUGCACUAGCGUCUGUCGCGUUGUAAGCAAAAUAUUCUCUUUGUAAAAUUAUAAUGAUUGUGUUCUGAUUCAUAUGCCAUCUUUUCCACACGUUAACUUAAAACAGCAAGGAGAAGGAAUAGAAAGCACUAGGGUCCUCUGGAGCAUAAGCGGAGUGAAUUUCCAAGUGUACCACGAGACACUAAAUUGACGUCAUGGGCGCACUAUUAACGGCGUUAUCUAUCGGUUACGAACGCAUUCAAAUCAUCAUUUUUUUUUUGUAUUCCACUCAUUGCACUAUCAGCGGCGAAAACAAACAUGCCAAAUGGGAUCGUAUUUCCCAGCACGUAUUAUAGAACCUAUAUUAUGUUUUAAUUGGCAUUACCGCAACAACAAUUUACAUUAGCUUUUAUGGAUAUUAAAAGAACAGUUGUUCUAAUACAUUCUUCUUGUUGUUGUUUUUUCAUAUGCAACGAAGAUGGCGCAACAUUGUGAGUAUUUGUGUUGACGUUGUAUAUCAAACGACAAGAAAAUUUUACGCCCGAAUAUUGUACUUAUCUGGGGCACUUUAUUUCUUUUGUAGAGCGCCGCAGGUGGUUUUGGCUAAGCCUGUUCUUCCUAAAGAAGCUGAAGCAGAUGCACUUGAGAAAACUGGAAAGACCCUGGAGACAGUGGGACGGCUUCUGCAAGGGGAAAAUGUCACCUUAAACGAGGAGAUGCAAGAAGAUUUGGUGAACGCUCUUCUGGAAGCGUCUUACAAUGGCGAAGUCUUGACUGAGGCCGGUUCCGAGUACAUGGCGCCAGUUGGUGUUAUUCGUCGUGCUGUUCAGGUUGCCAUCGCCCACUUUGUCAAGAAGUUGAACAAGGGCUAAGGACGCUGUCCGUGAAGAACUACUACGCGUUAACUAACGUGUGAUAAAAAAACACUACCAGGUAUUGCUGAGUCAGUUACAUGCUGAUGAUUUGUAGAUUCACAUGAUACGGCAUGAAAUAAAAUCUUUGCUGCGUGCAUUAAGUUUCA